rnacentral:rRNA from 1 species
CCAAGGAGUCUAUCAUUGCCGCGAGUCAUUGGGUUUACUAAACCUAAAGGCGUAGUGAAAGCAAAGGUUACUCGGUAACUGAGGCAUGAUCCCUUUUGGGCGCAAUGCCGGCGCUUUGCAUCGACCUCGCUUCGUGCAGAGCAGCAAGAGCGGUAACGAUGGGACCCGAAAGAUGGUGAACUAUGCCUGGCCAGGUUGAAGUCAGGGGAAACCCUGAUGGAGGACCGUAGCGAUUCUGACGUGCAAAUCGAUCGUCGGAGCUGGGUAUAGGGGCGAAAGACUAAUCGAACCAUC